rnacentral:lncRNA from 1 species
CAUUUCUACUGGCUACGUCCGGCAGCAGCAGACGCUGGGCGAGGUGGGUGUCCAGUUCAAGCAGUUGCCGCCCUUGCCGAACAACGCCACGUUCCUGCACCAGCUGCUGCAGUCCGGCAGGAAGUUAUCGCACGGGCCCAUGCACUGGUACACCGCCGCCCCUGAUGAUCACCAUAACACGGCAAUCUCUCACGGUGAAGAAAGUUGAAAGUUGAAGAAAGAAAAGCUUGCAUGCAAAAGUAUUGGGCAUGUUUUAGGCGUACCAUGGGAUGAAAGAGUAGCGACGGUGAGCACGACGACGACGAGGAUCCUGCAGAGGACGGCCGAGGAAGAUGAUGACCCCAUAGAAGGUGACGGCAGUUUGACCGUAAUACCGUGGUUCUGCUUGGACUGUCAAAUUGGUAAUGGAGAGGUAAUCGAUCUCCGGCGUUUUGGUAC